rnacentral:rRNA from 1 species
GAUGAACGCUAGCGGGAGGCCUAACACAUGCAAGCCGAGUGGUAUUGUUUCUUCGGAAAUGAGAGAGCGGCGUACGGGUGCGUAACACGUGUGCAACCUGCCUUUAUCUGGGGGAUAGCCUUUCGAAAGGAAGAUUAAUACUCCAUAAUAUAUUGAACGGCAUCGUUUAAUAUUGAAAGCUCCGGCGGAUAGAGAUGGGCACGCGCAAGAUUAGCUAGUUGGUGAGGUAACGGCUCACCAAGGCGAUGAUCUUUAGGGGGCCUGAGAGGGUGAUCCCCCACACUGGUACUGAGACACGGACCAGACUCCGACGGGAGGCAGCAGUGAGGAAUAUUGGUCAAUGGGUGCAAGCCUGAACCAGCCAUCCCGCGUGAAGGACGACUGCCCUAUGGGUUGUAAACUUCUUUUGUAUAGGGAUAAACCUACCCUCGAGAGGGUAGCUGAAGGUACUAUACGAAUAAGCACCGGCUAACUCCGUGCCAGCCGCCGCAGUAA